AGGGUAGUAGUUAAACAUAACAUUUGAUUUGCAUUCAAAAAGUAUUGAAUUAUCAAUCCACCUUA
rnacentral:tRNA from 1 species